UACAGAGGUCUCAAGCGUUGUUCGGAUUCAUUGGGCGUAAAGGGUGCGUAGGCGGCGCGGUAAGUCGGGUGUGAAAUUUCGGAGCUUAACUCCGAAACUGCAUUCGAUACUGGCGUGCUUGAGGACUGGAGAGGAGACUGGAAUUCAUGGUGUAGCAGUGAAAUGCGUAGAGAUCAUGAGGAAGACCAGUGGCGAAGGCGGGUCUCUGGACAGUUCCUGACACUGAGGCACGAAGGCCAGGGGAGCAAACGGG
rnacentral:rRNA from 1 species